rnacentral:rRNA from 1 species
UGUUCCCGGGCUUGUACACACCGCCCGUCACACCACGAAAGUCGGCAAUACCCGAAGCCGGUGGCCUAACCCGUAAGGGAGGGAGCCGUCGAAGGUAGGGUCGAUGAUUGGGGUG